UGCAGUCGACGAGAACCGCAAGGGAGUACAGUGGCGUACGGGUGAGUAACACGUGGGUAAUCUACCUUCGGGCUCCGAAUAACCCGCCGAAAGGCGGGCUAAUACGGGAUGAGACCACAGAUCUGCGGAUCAGGGGUUAAAGCGGGUGCAAACUCGCACCUGAAGAUGAGCCUGCGCAGCAUUAGCUAGUUGGUGAGGUAACGGCUCACCAAGGCGACGAUGCUUAGCUGGUCUGAGAGGAUGAUCAGCCACACUGGAACUGAAACACGGUCCAGACACCUACGGGUGGCAGCAGUGGGGAAUCUUGCGCAAUGGACGAAAGUCUGACGCAGCGACGCCGCGUGGGCGAUGAAGGCCUUCGGGUCGUAAAGCCCUGUCAGCAGGGAGUAAGGUCGGUGACCUAACACGUCAUCGAAUUGAACGUACCUGCAGAGGAAGCACCGGCUAACUCUGUGCCAGCAGCCGCGGUAAUACAGAGGGUGCAAGCGUUGUUUCGAAAUCAUUGGGCGUAAAGCGCAUGUAGGCGGCGCGACAAGUCUGAUGUGAAAUUCCUCGGCUCAACCGGGGAGGGUCAUUUGGAUACUGUCGUGCUCGAGUG
rnacentral:rRNA from 1 species